rnacentral:rRNA from 1 species
UACGUAGGGACCGAGCGUUGUCCGGAAUCAUUGGGCGUAAAGAGCGUGUAGGCGGCUAUUUAAGUCCUGCGUGAAAUCCUGCGGCUCAACCGCAGAUGGUCGUGGGAAACUGGAUGGCUAGAGUGCGGGAGAGGAGAGUGGAAUUCCCGGUGUAGCGGUGAAAUGCGCAGAUAUCGGGAAGAACACCAGUGGCGAAGGCGGCUUCCUGGCCUGCAACUGACGCUGAGACGCGAAAGCGUGGGGAGCGAACCGG